AGAGUUUGAUCAUGGCUCAGGACGAACGCUGGCGGCGUGCUUAACACAUGCAAGUCGAACGGUGAACUCCAGCUUGCUGGGGGGAUCAGUGGCGAACGGGUGAGUAACACGUGAGCAACCUGCCCUUCACUCUGGGAUAAGCCUUGGAAACGGGGUCUAAUACCGGAUAUGAGGCGCUCGGGCAUCCGAAGCGUCUGGAAAGAUUUAUCGGUGGGGGAUGGGCUCGCGGCCUAUCAGCUUGUUGGUGGGGUAGUGGCCUACCAAGGCGACGACGGGUAGCCGGCCUGAGAGGGCGACCGGCCACACUGGGACUGAGACACGGCCCAGACUCCUACGGGAGGCAGCAGUGGGGAAUAUUGCACAAUGGGCGCAAGCCUGAUGCAGCGACGCCGCGUGAGGGAUGAAGGCCUUCGGGUUGUAAACCUCUUUCAGCAGGGAAGAAGCGCAAGUGACGGUACCUGCAGAAGAAGCGCCGGCUAACUACGUGCCAGCAGCCGCGGUAAUAC
rnacentral:rRNA from 1 species